ACGACUUGCCAUGCCAAAAGAAAAAAGAAAUGAUCUAGUAUUGGUUUAAGUCCUUUGCAUGAUUUAGGAAGCAACCUAUCCUUAAUGCAAAGCCAUUCAUUUGAUCAAUUGAUCAAGAUGAAUUAGAUUUGAAUCAAGGAAGAUUAAGCCUCCCUAAUCAAUGAUAACUUAUCAACCUUUAACUCAUUGAUCAAAAAGAAAAAGAAAAAGAAGAAGGAG
rnacentral:lncRNA from 1 species